rnacentral:misc_RNA from 1 species
GUGAAGAUUUGGGCAGGCCAUACGGACGCCACAAAGUGUCCCUGGCCGCCUACACCCACUAUACAUCCACAAACCCGUGUGCACUGUCCUUGGAAGGGGCAUUUGGAGAGAAAAAGGAAGAGAAGCGAGAACAGUGCGAUCCGUCGCGUUGGGCGUUGAUCUCUGGCUUGGUCUCUCUGAGGCCCUUUCCUCGCU